UUAAGUUAUUAAGGGCGCACGGUGGAUGCCUUGGCACUAGAAGCCGAUGAAGGACGUUACUAACGACGAUAUGCUUUGGGGAGCUGUAAGUAAGCUUUGAUCCAGAGAUUUCCGAAUGGGGAAACCCAGCAUGAGUUAUGUCAUGUUAUCGAUAUGUGAAUACAUAGCAUAUCAGAAGGCACACCCGGAGAACUGAAACAUCUUAGUACCCGGAGGAAGAGAAAGAAAAUUCGAUUCCCUUAGUAGCGGCGAGCGAAACGGGAAGAGCCCAAACCAAAAAGCUUGCUUGUUGGGGUUGUAGGACACUCUAUACGGAGUUACAAAGGACGACAUUAGACGAAUCAUCUGGAAAGAUGAAUCAAAGAAGGUAAUAAUCCUGUAGUCGAAAAUGUUGUCUCUCUUGAGUGGAUCCUGAGUACGACGGAGCACGUGAAAUUCCGUCGGAAUCUGGGAGGACCAUCUCCUAAGGCUAAAUACUCUCUAGUGACCGAUAGUGAACCAGUACCGUGAGGGAAAGGUGAAAAGCACCCCGGAAGGAGAGUGAAAUAGAACCUGAAACCGUGUGCUUACAAGUAGUCAGAGCCCGUUAAUGGGUGAUGGCGUGCCUUUUGUAGAAUGAACCGGCGAGUUACGAUUUGAUGCAAGGUUAAGCAGUAAAUGUGGAGCCGUAGCGAAAGCGAGUCUGAAUAGGGCGUUUAGUAUUUGGUCGUAGACCCGAAACCAGGUGAUCUACCCUUGGUCAGGUUGAAGUUCAGGUAACACUGAAUGGAGGACCGAACCGACUUACGUUGAAAAGUGAGCGGAUGAACUGAGGGUAGCGGAGAAAUUCCAAUCGAACCUGGAGAUAGCUGGUUCUCUCCGAAAUAGCUUUAGGGCUAGCCUCAAGUGAUGAUUAUUGGAGGUAGAGCACUGUUUGGACGAGGGGCCCCUCUUGGGUUACCGAAUUCAGACAAACUCCGAAUGCCAAUUAAUUUAACUUGGGAGUCAGAACAUGGGUGAUAAGGUCCGUGUUCGAAAGGGAAACAGCCCAGACCACCAGCUAAGGUCCCAAAAUAUAUGUUAAGUGGAAAAGGAUGUGGCGUUGCCCAGACAACUAGGAUGUUGGCUUAGAAGCAGCCAUCAUUUAAAGAGUGCGUAAUAGCUCACUAGUCGAGUGACACUGCGCCGAAAAUGUACCGGGGCUAAACAUAUUACCGAAGCUGUGGAUUGUCCUUUGGACAAUGGUAGGAGAGCGUUCUAAGGGCGUUGAAGCAUGAUCGUAAGGACAUGUGGAGCGCUUAGAAGUGAGAAUGCCGGUGUGAGUAGCGAAAGACGGGUGAGAAUCCCGUCCACCGAUUGACUAAGGUUUCCAGAGGAAGGCUCGUCCGCUCUGGGUUAGUCGGGUCCUAAGCUGAGGCCGACAGGCGUAGGCGAUGGAUAACAGGUUGAUAUUCCUGUACCACCUAUAAUCGUUUUAAUCGAUGGGGGGACGCAGUAGGAUAGGCGAAGCGUGCGAUUGGAUUGCACGUCUAAGCAGUAAGGCUGAGUAUUAGGCAAAUCCGGUACUCGUUAAGGCUGAGCUGUGAUGGGGAGAAGACAUUGAGUCUUCGAGUCGUUGAUUUCACACUGCCGAGAAAAGCCUCUAGAUAGAAAAUAGGUGCCCGUACCGCAAACCGACACAGGUAGUCAAGAUGAGAAUUCUAAGGUGAGCGAGCGAACUCUCGUUAAGGAACUCGGCAAAAUGACCCCGUAACUUCGGGAGAAGGGGUGCUCUUUAGGGUUAACGCCCAGAAGAGCCGCAGUGAAUAGGCCCAAGCGACUGUUUAUCAAAAACACAGGUCUCUGCUAAACCGUAAGGUGAUGUAUAGGGGCUGACGCCUGCCCGGUGCUGGAAGGUUAAGAGGAGUGGUUAGCUUCUGCGAAGCUACGAAUCGAAGCCCCAGUAAACGGCGGCCGUAACUAUAACGGUCCUAAGGUAGCGAAAUUCCUUGUCGGGUAAGUUCCGACCCGCACGAAAGGCGUAACGAUUUGGGCACUGUCUCAACGAGAGACUCGGUGAAAUCAUAGUACCUGUGAAGAUGCAGGUUACCCGCGACAGGACGGAAAGACCCCGUGGAGCUUUACUGUAGCCUGAUAUUGAAAUUCGGCACAGCUUGUACAGGAUAGGUAGGAGCCUUUGAAACGUGAGCGCUAGCUUACGUGGAGGCGCUGGUGGGAUACUACCCUAGCUGUGUUGGCUUUCUAACCCGCACCACUUAUCGUGGUGGGAGACAGUGUCAAGCGGGCAGUUUGACUGGGGCGGUCGCCUCCUAAAAGGUAACGGAGGCGCUCAAAGGUUCCCUCAGAAUGGUUGGAAAUCAUUCAUAGAGUGUAAAGGCAUAAGGGAGCUUGACUGCGAGACCUACAAGUCGAGCAGGGUCGAAAGACGGACUUAGUGAUCCGGUGGUUCCGCAUGGAAGGGCCAUCGCUCAACGGAUAAAAGCUACCCCGGGGAUAACAGGCUUAUCUCCCCCAAGAGUUCACAUCGACGGGGAGGUUUGGCACCUCGAUGUCGGCUCAUCGCAUCCUGGGGCUGUAGUCGGUCCCAAGGGUUGGGCUGUUCGCCCAUUAAAGCGGUACGCGAGCUGGGUUCAGAACGUCGUGAGACAGUUCGGUCCCUAUCCGUCGUGGGCGUAGGAAAUUUGAGAGGAGCUGUCCUUAGUACGAGAGGACCGGGAUGGACAUACCUCUGGUGUACCAGUUGUCGUGCCAACGGCAUAGCUGGGUAGCUAUGUGUGGACGGGAUAAGUGCUGAAAGCAUCUAAGCAUGAAGCCCCCCUCAAGAUGAGAUUUCCCAACUUCGGUUAUAAGAUCCCUCAAAGAUGAUGAGGUUAAUAGGUUCGAGGUGGAAGCAUGGUGACAUGUGGAGCUGACGAAUACUAAUCGAUCGAAGACUUAAUCAA
rnacentral:rRNA from 1 species